GAUGGUCUCAGCCUAGAGCGGCUGCUGUUCAGCUUUGGCCCCUGAAGGGAGAACACAUCUGAGGAUGAAGAAUGGUUGAGGCAUUUGUUCCUCUGGUUUUCUCUCUGCUCCAGUGCAGUAGGCACUGGGGCAGAAGUGGUUCCUCCAUUAUUAGCAGCCCAGGGUUCUUUCAACCUGCCUACAUCUGGAAAAUACCUCCUUAUCAAACUCUUCAUCACCAGUGUCAGUUCAUGCUCUACCUCCUGAGAAACAGGCGUUAUCAGGCCUGGGCUUUGCUCACAGCACCUGCCGGCUCCUGGGAAGAAGCCACAUCUGCCUCGAACUGCCCUGACUGCCUUUGUUACGAUACCUACCCGUGGCUUGCUUGUGCCAACUCUGAAAACACAGGGCUGCCUGAGGGAGCUCUCGUGUUAGCAAGCAGCAGCUCGUGGGUAAGGAAAGCCCCUUCAUUUAUUAACAUUAAAGUGAUUGCAAACUCGUAGGUGAGAUACUUAUGCAUUGGGCUCUGUCUGGAUAAUUCACCUGUAUUAACUCAGCCGAUCCUCUUAACUCCAUAAGGAAGGAAUCCUUAUUGUCCCCAUCUUAAAGACCUCCGAAACGAAACCAGAGAUACUGAAUGAUUUGCCUGGGAUGACUCCGCUACCACUUGGCACAGCCACGGUGCAAACCCAGUUGGGCUGGCACUGAACACCCAGACUGUAGAUCCCUCCUGCCUGACUCAAGAGCCUCUGUCUAUAUGGAAGCAAUCAACUUAAGGUCACAAGAGGCCCAUUUCAGAAUGGGUUCUGUCCCACACUCUGGAGGAAGGAAUGCUGUAUGAGGAGGCCUAGAAGAAUCUGAACAGACAGGCUUUACUGGAGUUCCCCACUCGGCCCGUUAGUAUUAGACCAGAUCUUUUUGUCCAGUCACAUUUCUACGUGGUUGCCUAUCAAAGAAGUCUCUAUAAAAAGUCCAAGAGAACAGGGUUUGGGGAGCUUCCAGGAGGCAGGAAGGUGAACAAGAAUUCAUCCACAUGCCAGACAGCUGGUGCAUCCCAAAUCCAUGGAGACAGAAGCUCCUGCACUCAGACCCUUCCAGACCUCACCCUACAUGUUUCUUCAUCUGGCUGUGUAUUUGUAUCCUUUGAAAUAUCCUUUGUAAUAAACUGUUAAACAUAAGUUCUGUGAGUCACUCUAGCAAAUUCACUAAGCCC
rnacentral:lncRNA from 1 species